UGGGCGCGAACAUGUAGGGUGCGAACGGACGUGGGGGCGAAAAUGUGAGGUGCGAACGUGUAGGGUGAGAAACUAUAUUGGGCGCGAACGGACCUGAUACCUUAAGUGACGAAUGUUUAUGGGGCGAUACUGAACACGUGAUACAGCUGUUUUAUGGAGUCCUAUGGACGCCGAUUAAAUUCAAUCUGAAUCUGGAGAAACUGGUUGAAAAUGAG
rnacentral:lncRNA from 1 species